rnacentral:rRNA from 1 species
UACGUAGGGGGCUAGCGUUGUCCGGAAUCAUUGGGCGUAAAGCGCGUGUAGGCGGUCCGGUAAGUCCGCUGUGAAAGUCGGGGGCUCAACCCUCGAAUGCCGGUGGAUACUGUCGGGCUAGAGUGCGGAAGAGGCGAGUGGAAUUCCUGGUGGUAGCGGUGAAAUGCGCAGAGUAUCAGGAGGAACACCAAUUGCGAAGGCAGCUCGCUGGGACGUAACUGACGCU